GACAGAGGUGCCGAGCGUUAGGCGGAAUCACUGGGCUUAAAGCGUGUGUAGGCGGCCCGUUAAGUGUCUUGUGAAAUCCCCCGGCUCAACCGGGGAACGGCUGGGCAUACUGGCGGGCUUGGGUCGCUCAGGGGCAGACGGAACAGGCGGUGGAGCGGUGAAAUGCGUAGAUAUCAUUUGGAACGCCAAUGGUGAAAACAGCUCGCUGGGAAUGAUCUGACACUGAGACGCGAAAGCCAGGGGAGCGAACGGG
rnacentral:rRNA from 1 species